AAACAAGCAUUUAAUAGACACACAACACCUCUGUAUAGUAAAAGAACACCUUCUUGUGGCUUAGAGACUUCGAAAACGUCUCUAGUUAAUUUAUUUCCCUCUUAUUUCUUUUCUCGUUAGCAAACUAGCCUGUUAGCAUUGACUGAAAACUUCCUCCUAUAGUUGCCUAGCAACCGUGAGUCGAUAGUUAGCGGUGUGAAUAGCAAAGAAAGACCCAGGUGUCCACAGUUUUAGAUAAACCUGAACGUUUAUCGGAUAUUAAGACACUAUUCCUACUUAGUGCAAACAGACUACCGUAGAAGUCUUUAGUAAUGCUUGCGUGGGUGAAUUUGGAUGAUGCCAGCUAACUACAACGUGCUAAACACGGAUUAUUAAAGCGAAUGCCAGGUGUACAAAAAUUGUUUUACGGGUUGGAAACAGAGACGUGCGAAUUUGGCAGCUUGAAUUGUAUUACGGUGCUGAUGGUGAGACGUGAAGUCAAAUCCAUUGAAGAGAACGCUGACUUCAAACUCAGUCUGCAAACAGACCUUUUCUCCUCCGCCUUUUAUUUGUGACUCGUCCACCUGAGCGACCUGCUGUGGUGUCCAGGAGGCAGAUAGGACACUGUGUCGCCCUCUUAUCUUCUUCUCCCUCGCUGGACCAAACAGCCCUGGUACACACAGCACAGGUACACACUCUCAGACAGAUAACACACACACACACACACACAGCUUUCACACAAACGCUCCAGCCCUGUAGAUAAUUGCAUCAG
rnacentral:lncRNA from 1 species